rnacentral:rRNA from 1 species
CACCUCUGGGUUAGUCGGGACCUAAGCUGAGGCCGAAAGGCGUAGGUGAUGGACAACAGGUUGAUAUUCCUGUACUACCGAUAACCGUUUGAGAGAAGGGAUGACACAGUAGGAUAAGCUAAGCACACUGUUGGUUAUGUGUGCCCAAGCAUUGAGGCAGUCAAAGUAGGCAAAUCCGCUUUGAUAAUGCUGGGAUGGGAUGGGGAGCGAAAUUUAGUAGCGAAGUAGCUGAUUUCACACUGUCAAGAAAAGUCUCUAUCGAGGUUAAAGGUACCCGUACCGCAAACCGACACAGGUGGGUGAGGAGAGUAUCCUAAGGC